rnacentral:rRNA from 1 species
GUAGUCCACACUGUAAACGAUGAAUGCUAGGUGUAGGGGGUAUCGACCCCUUCUGUGCCGCAGUCAACACAAUAAGCAUUCCGCCUGGGGAGUACGGCCGCAAGGUUGAAACUCAAAGGAAUUGACGGGGGCCCGCACAAGCAGCGGAGCAUGUGGUUUAAUUCGACGCAACGCGAAGAACCUUACCAGGUCUUGACAUCCACUUAAACUUACAGAGAUGUAAGGUGUGCUUGCACAAAGUGAGACAGGUGGUGCAUGGUUGUCGUCAGCUCGUGUCGUGAGAUGUUGGGUUAAGUCCCGCAACGAGCGCAACCCUUAUCUUCAGUUACUAACGCGUGAGGGUGAGGACU